rnacentral:misc_RNA from 1 species
UUCUGUUAUCCUAAGAAUAGUGUUGAACUAUGUUGGAUUUAUUAAGCACCUGACAUGGCAUGAAAGUACUGGCAAAUGGAAGGAAUGUGUGUCAGAACCCAUUAAUCAGUGUGAUAUUUAUGGGCAUUGUGGUCCCUAUGGAAAAUGUGAUUCAAACCAUAUUAUUCAAAAAUUUGAAUGUAAUUGUUUACCUGGUUAUGAGCCCAAGUCCCCAAGAAACUGGCAUAUUCUGCGAGAUGGGUCAGAUGGGUGUGUUAGAAAGCGCCUAGACACUUCUUCAGUAUGUGGGCAUGGAGAAGGAUUUGUCAAAGUGGCAGAUGUUAAGAUUCCUGAUACUUCAGCAGCAGUUUGGGUGAACAUGAACAUGCCUCCUAUGGACUGUGAACAGGAAUGCAGGAGGAAUUGUUCGUGCUCUGCAUAUGCAAGCAUAGAUAUUGCUGGGAAAGGAACUGGUUGUUUGGCAUGGUAUGGUGAAUUAAUGGAUACCGUAGAUAAUAAGGAUGAGGGAUAUGACAUUUAUGUCCGUGUUGAUGCAAUUGAAUUAGCUGACAUUGUGCAAAAAUCAAAUGGUUCUCUUGGAAGGAAGGAUGUGUUGGCCAUUUUAGUAGUAUCAGUUGUUUCAGCUUGGUUUGUCAUCAUCUUAUUUGCAUAUUUGUGGCUCAAGAAGAAGAAGAAAAGAAGCAUGAAGAACAAAUGGAAUGAAAGAUUGCACAAUACAAAUGUUGAUGCAUACCACAAGGUUAAUAUGGUGGCAAAUGAAGUUCGAGGCAGCAUGAAUCAUCCAGACAUAGCAUUUUUUGAUUUUAAUACAAUACUUACAGCGACUAACAAUUUCUCUCCAGCUAAUAAGCUGGGACAAGGUGGUUUUGGCUUGGUUUACAAGGGUCAGCUGUCUAAUGGACAGGAGGUUGCUGUGAAACGGCUAUCCAAAAACUCAGGGCAAGGAAUAGAAGAAUUUAAAAAUUAUGUUGAUCGCAAAGCUUCAACACAAGAAUCUUGUGAAACUGCUAGGAUGUUGCAUUCAGGAAGAAGAGCUAAUGUUAAUUUAUGAAUACUUGCCAAACAAAAGCUUGGAUUCAUUACUUUUUGAUGAAACAGGGUCAACCUUGGAUUGGAGAAGACGCUUUAAUAUCAUCAUAGGGAUUGCUCGUGGAAUCUUAUAUAUGCACCAAGACUCCAGGUUACAAAUUAUCCAUAGAGAUUUAAAAACUAGCAACAUUUUAUUGGAUGCAGAAAUGAAUCCAAAAAUUUCAGAUUUUGGCCUAGCUAGAAUCUUCAAAGGCUGAAGGAGACCAAAUUCAAGGAAAGACAAACAGAAUUUUUGGAACGUUUGGCUACAUGUCCCCAGAAUACGUGGUGUUCGGAAAAUAUUCAAUAAAAUCUGAUGUCUUCAGCUUUGGAGUUAUAUUAUUAGAGAUUAUUUCAGGAAAGAAGAGCACUGGCUUUUAUCAAGAGGAUUCUAACCUAAGUUUGAUGGGGCAUAUAUGGCAAUCAUGGAGAGAAGGGAGACUACAGGAGAUAAUUGAUUCCUCCCUAAAGGAUUCAUAUCCCCGUGAUGAAGUAUUGAGAUGCAUCCAAAUUGGGCUGCUAUGUGUGCAAGAAGAUGCUUUGGACAGACCAACCAUGUCAGCAGUCGUGUUAAUGUUGAAUAGUGAAAUUGCUCUUCCUUCUCCUAAACAAGCUGCAUUCGUUUUCAGAAAGUCCAGCAAUAAUUCUUGCUUAUUAGAAGCAGAAGAACAAUUUUGUUCAGUGAAUGAGUUGACAAUUAGUGAGGUUGCAAGUCGCUGAGUAUAUUGUCUCAUAA